CAUUUCCCACAAAGUAUUUCACCGGCACCGCGACCAAUGCGCAAAGGUUCCUGGGUAGUUCAGCUCUUCUUCAUCUGAGCCCGACAAAGACGGGAGUGCCGGAAACUACAUAUCCCAGAAUCUCCUUCGCUGAUGUUGGUACGAGUGGUAAGGUCUACAAUGUGGUGGAAAGUGCAGUUUUUCCUGUUCUCCCCGAGUAUCCAAAAUCACUUUCCAGUUUGAUCCCUGGUCUGCUGAGAUUUCCAGCAUUUGCAGUAUUUUGUUCUUACUCUUUGACAGAGUAUGAUUAUUAAUGCAGGAAGAGGACUGCAGUCUGUGUAUCGGUAUUCAUCAGAAUCAGGCACUUACCUCCUUAGAGCGCAGGCAGCAAGAAUAGGGGACGGAGCAGCGUUCCCGACUGGGGUUCUCUACUGUGCAGUUGAAGUACAUAUUGUGGCUCCAGUCCUUGUAUGAGAUUCCUCCACAACAGCUGAACUGAGGCACCAAAAGUAGGGAUUAC